rnacentral:rRNA from 1 species
AGUCGAGGGGCAUCGGGAUUGAAGCUUGCUUCAAUUGCCGGCGACCGGCGCACGGGUGCGUAACGCGUAUGUAACCUACCUAUAACAGGGGCAUAACACUGAGAAAUUGGUACUAAUUCCCCAUAAUAUUCGGAGAGGCAUCUCUCCGGGUUGAAAACUCCGGUGGUUAUAGAUGGACAUGCGUUGUAUUAGCUAGUUGGUGAGGUAACGGCUCACCAAGGCAACGAUACAUAGGGGGACUGAGAGGUUAACCCCCCACACUGGUACUGAGACACGGACCAGACUCCUACGGGAGGCAGCAGUGAGGAAUAUUGGUCAAUGGACGCAAGUCUGAACCAGCCAUGCCGCGUGCAGGAAGACGGCUCUAUGAGUUGUAAACUGCUUUUGUACGAGGGUAAACUCACCUACGUGUAGGUGACUGAAAGUAUCGUACGAAUAAGGAUCGGCUAACUCCGUGCCAGCAGCCGCGGUAAUACGGAGGAUUCAAGCGUUAUCCGGAUUUAUUGGGUUUAAAGGGUGCGUAGGCGGUUUGAUAAGUUAGAGGUGAAAUCCCGGGGCUUAACUCCGGAACUGCCUCUAAUACUGUUAGACUAGAGAGUAGUUGCGGUAGGCGGAAUGUAUGGUGUAGCGGUGAAAUGCUUAGAGAUCAUACAGAACACCGAUUGCGAGCAGCUUACCAACUAUAUCUGAC